UGACGCAUGCAGAAAUGCAUGUUCUCUUCGGAGCACUGGAGACAGGUGGUGCAUGGUUGUCGUCAGCUCGUGUCGUGAGAUGUUGGGUUAAGUCCCGCAACGAGCGCAACCCUUAUCCUUAGUAGCCAGCAGGGAAAGCUGGGCACUCUAGGGAGACUGCCAGGGAUAACCUGGAGGAAGGUGGGGAUGACGUCAAAUCAUCAUGCCCCUUAUGAUUUGGGCUACACACGUGCUACAAUGGCGUAAACAAAGGGAAGCGAAGUGGCGACAUGGAGCGAACCCCAAAAAUAACGUCUCAGUUCGGAUUGCAGGCUGCAACCCGCCUGCAUGAAGCCGGAAUCGCUAGUAAUCGCAGAUCAGAAUGCUGCGGUGAAUACGUUCCCGGGUCUUGUACACACCGCCCGUCACACCAUGGGAGUCGAUAACGCCCGAAGUCAGUGACCCAACCGAAAGGAGGGAGCUGCCGAAGGCGGGAUGGAUAACUGGGGUGAAGUCGUAACAAGGUAGCCGUAUCGGAAGGUGCGG
rnacentral:rRNA from 1 species